CCUACGGGCGGCUGCAGUGGGGAAUAUUGGACAAUGGGGGCAACCCUGAUCCAGCCAUGCCGCGUGUGUGAAGAAGGCCCUCGGGUUGUAAAGCACUUUCAGUGAGGAAGAACGCCUGGUGGUUAAUACCCAUCAGGAAAGACAUCACUCACAGAAGAAGCACCGGCUAACUCCGUGCCAGCAGCCGCGGUAAUACGGAGGGUGCGAGCGUUAAUCGGAAUUACUGGGCGUAAAGCGUGCGUAGGUGGCUUGAUAAGCCGGUUGUGAAAGCCCCGGGCUCAACCUGGGAACGGCAUCCGGAACUGUCAAGCUAGAGUGCAGGAGAGGAAGGUAGAAUUCCUGGUGUAGCGGUGAAAUGCGUAGAGAUCGGGAGGAAUACCAGUGGCGAAGGCGGCCUUCUGGACUGACACUGACACUGAGGUGCGAAAGCGUGGGUAGCAAACAGGAUUAGAUACCCUUGUAGUC
rnacentral:rRNA from 1 species